rnacentral:rRNA from 2 species
UGGGGAAUCUUGCGCAAUGGGCGAAAGCCUGACGCAGCCAUGCCGCGUGAAUGAUGAAGGUCUUAGGAUUGUAAAAUUCUUUCAGCGGGGACGAUAAUGACGGUACCCGCAGAAGAAGCCCCGGCUAACUUCGUGCCAGCAGCCGCGGUAAUACGAAGGGGGCUAGCGUUGCUCGGAAUUACUGGGCGUAAAGGGAGCGUAGGCGGAUAGUUUAGUCAGAGGUGAAAGCCCAGGGCUCAACCUUGGAAAUGCCUUUGAUACUGGCUAUCUUGAGUAUGGGAGAGGUAAGCGGAAUUCCGAGUGUAGAGGUGAAAUUCGUAGAUAUUCGGAAGAACACCAGUGGCGAAGGCGGCUUACUGGCCCAUUACUGACGCUGAGGCUCGAAAGCGUGGGGAGCAAACAGG